CAGCACAGAGGAUAAAUCCAAGACCCAAGCAAUUCCCAUGUUGUGAAGAAGCAUUUUGAACUUCUGGCGUUCAGCUUGACUGAUGGAGCCCUUUUGAAUUGAGUAUGUUGCUGUAUACCAAAGCUCACCUCUUCCAGCUGGCACGGGGAGGUUUAGCUGCGUUGUGUCUGCUUCACACCUCAUCAUCAGCAAAGAUGAUGCUGGAAACAAUUUAGGUGGUGAUGUGGUAGACGGAGCAUGAGGCAGAGCAGAAUGUUGGGAGUGGCUCUGCAUCUGUCUUCCAUCACAGUUGGUUCCAGGGUCUGGUGAGGAAUUCUCAACUGAUUGCAAGGAGAGAAGGAUUAGGGAGCAAGGACCACAUGUGUCUUUGGUGCAUGGUCAUGGCUAGGAUUGCAACCAGAGAGGCAGUGGUGUUUAAACCUAGAAUCAUAGAGUCACAGAAUGGUUUAGGUUGGAGGGGACCUUAAAGAUCACCCACAUCCAACCCCCUGCCAUGGGCUGGUCGCCACUCACCAGCUCAGGCUGCCCAGGGCCCAGCCAGCGUGGCUUUAUGCACUGUCAGGGAUGGGGCCCCCAUAGCUUCCCUGGGCAACCUGUGCCAUCUUCCCUCUUUUAGUUUAAAACCAUUCCCCCUUGUCUUACUAUCGGACCAUGUAAAAGGCUGGUCCACCUCCUGCUUGUAAUCUCCCUUCAAGUACUGGUAGGCAUGACAUUGGAUGGUCAGGAGAGGAAGAGGUUGCAGCAACUGAUGGCAGAGGACUACAAGCAGCUGGAACAGGUUUCCUGGGGGAAUAUUAAGACUUCCCUUACCUUAAGGAUAUGCUUCUUAGAGUCUGUGUGGGGCCUGAGGACCACGGGAGUGAUGGAUGCUACGUGAUUUGGCACUCAUGUAUGCCAUAAACAGCUCUCAGCAUGCUGCUCUUCCCUUUCCUGCUUGCAAACACACAGCUUGCCGUUCAACCAGUCCUGGGUGCAAUGUUUUUUUGCAAGACAUAAAUAUGGACAUUUAAUGAUGACACUUUUACAGAACAGGCUUUACACCAGCUGCUAGGAAUGCUCCAGCAUUGCCUUUUGCUCUGAUUCUUCCUCUUGCUGCCCCUCUAACCAGGGCACGUUGGAUAUAUCUCUCUUUUCCUAGACAAUGUCAAUUGAAGAUCAGAGUUUUUUUUAUGACUUGCUUCAUGAAAGCUUGAGGUUUUCUGAGUUGAAGGCAGAAUAGCUUCUGUAACCUAACAUAGGCUGCUCAUUUUGCUGGCUUCCCAGUGGCAAUCUCCCAGCAAGAGCCUUGGAGAGUGAUAUGUGGAGAAUAGAUAAUAUGGCAGAGAAGAAAAUCUGAAAGUUUUCUCAUGCGUGGGUCUGUCUGUAGAGAUGUAUUUAUUAUCAGUUUCAUAUAAUUUUAUAUUUUCCAACGUAUUUCAGAUAUAUGGUAUGAUAUAAAAAUAUGGACUCUCACGACAGUGUUAUAAAUGAUUGGAAAUUACCAGCUGGGAAGUUUGUCAUGUGCAAUAUAUAACACAAUGGAAG
rnacentral:lncRNA from 1 species